CAGCACCUCAAGUGGUCAGGAUGAUUAUUGGGCCUAAAGCAUCCGUAGCCGGCGCUGUAAGUUUUCGGUUAAAUCUGUACGCUCAACGUACAGGCUGCCGGGAAUACUGCAGCGCUAGGGAGUGGGAGAGGUAGACGGUACUCGGUAGGAAGGGGUAAAAUCCUUUGAUCUAUUGAUGACCACCUGUGGCGAAGACGGUCUACCAGAACACGUCCGACGGUGAGGGAUGAAAGCUGGGGGAGCAAACCGGAUUAGAUACCCGAGUAGUCC
rnacentral:rRNA from 1 species